UAGGGAAUCUUCCGCAAUGGACGAAAGUCUGACGGAGCAACGCCGCGUGAGUGAAGAAGGAUUUCGGUUCGUAAAACUCUGUUGUUAGGGAAGAAAAAAUGUAUAGUAACUAUAUACAAAAGAGACGGUACCUAACCAGAAAGCCACGGCUAACUACGUGCCAGCAGCCGCGGUAAUACGUAGGUGGCAAGCGUUGUCCGGAAUUAUUGGGCGUAAAGCGCGCGCAGGUGGUUUAGAAAGUCUGAUGUGAAAGCCCACGGCUCAACCGUGGAGGGUCAUUGGAAACUAAUAAACUUGAGUGCAGGAGAGAAAAGUGGAAUUCCUAGUGUAGCGGUGAAAUGCGUAGAUAUUAGGAGGAAUACCGGUGGCGAAGGCGACUUUCUGGACUUUUACUGACGCUCAGGUACGAAAGCGUGGGGAGCAAACAGG
rnacentral:rRNA from 1 species